rnacentral:rRNA from 1 species
AUUGAACGCUGGCGGCAGGCCUAACACAUGCAAGUCGAGCGGAGCGGCGGACGGGCGAGUAAUGCCUAGGUAUCUGCCUGGUAGUGGGGGCUAACGUCCGGCAACGGGCGCUAACACCGCAUACUAUCAGAUGAGCCUAGGUCGGAUUAGCUAGGUGGUGGGGUAAAGGCCUACUAAGGCGACGAUCCGUAGCUGGUCUGAGAGGAUGAUCAGUCCCACUGGAACUGCGACACGGUCCAGACUCCUACGGGAGGCAGCAGUGGGGAAUAUUGGACAAUGGGCGAAAGCCUGAUCCAGCCAUGCCGCGUGUAUGAAGAAGGUCUUCGGGUUGUAAAGCACUUUAAGUUGGGAGGCGUUACCAACAGAAGAAGCACCGGCUAACUUCGUGCCAGCAGCCGCGGUAAUAC